CGAGUCUGCCUCCUCGGCUUGUACAUCUAUUUUCGUUGGAAAUGCGACAAAUGCAUUAUGCAACAGCUUACGUGAAAAUUUCUUGUGACAAUUUGAGUGUGUUGCGACUGGCGCAGCAUCUGGUUUGGCCUCUGUGAUAUUUAUUGACAUAUGCCUCACAAAUUCAGUCUCGCGGCUUUCCGAAAUGUGUUGCACUUAAAGCUCAAGUCUGGCACGGUUUCAGCAUAAAUAAUGGACUGCCAGCCCCCGACCAGACGAGUGCAACUGGCGGCAGUCGAGCACUGAAGUAUAUACAUUUCAAAUAUUGCAAAAGUUGUAUGUCAAUUAACAAUAAACUCAACAUGGAGAACUUGCCGUAAGACAAGACUAAAGAAACGGACGGGGAAUAGUCGAAAGCUGAAUGAUCUAUCGAUGAGACAAGACUAUGACAGCUCUAUUCAUAUAAAAGUGCUCGUUAACGAUUAAUGUUAUUUCGAUAUAAACAUUAAAUAAAAACAUCGAUAUAUAUCGAAAAAUGAUAAAUAGAUAACUAAUUGUCGAUGAAAGCUCUUGAUAUCGAUAACUGAUUUUCCAGAAAAAUGUUUAUGAAAUCAAUAACUGAUUGUCGAUAUAAGCUCAUGAUAUCGAAAGCUUAUUAAACACGAUUAACUUGAUUACAACUUGAGGAUAACCUGCGAUAUUAAAGAGCAUUAAAAUGAAAGCCUGCUAACUAAUUUCUAAGCAAACGUAUCGAUACUUUAAUCGAUAUUCCAAAUACGAUAUAUUUAUUCACAACUCAAACACUGUGAACGAGAAUUCUCUCACAAGUUAAAUGUUCUAUAUAAAUCUUAUCAGACUUGCUCAUACAAACAAAUUAGGAGUGAACUUAUAUUCGGGCACAAAUGGAAAUUGCAAUAAAGGCCAUUUUUAAUAGAGUUGCAGCACGAGACAGAUGUGGCAGUUGUAAAAAUUUGACAGCUGCUGGCAGCAGUCCCAGUUGCAAAACAAGGAUGAUAAACCGAAAUGCCCUUUCUACGGCUAGUGUAUGUGUGUGCGAGUGUGUGCCUGUGUGUGUGAAUGCCAAGACGACGCAAAAGGACAUUGCAAGCUGUACACAUUUUUCGGGUAUAUAUUUGGCCAGAGAGCUUUUGGCAAAGCGGCAACUCUUCCACUUGCAACUGUUGCCCGCAAACUGAAGGACAAAACGGGGCCGAGUCUGGGGAGCAUUUGCAUGCGCUCAGAGUGAAGCGAAACUUUUGUAAUUAAUAAAUUAUUUAUGAAGAAUAAAUGAAAAGGAGACGCUGCCAGAGCACAACCAACUGCAA